GACGAACGCUGGCGGCGGGCUUAACACAUGCAAGUCGAACGGAAAGGCCCUGCUUUUGUGGGGUUCUCGAGUGGCGAACGGGUGAGUAACACGUGAGUAACCUGCCCUUGACUUUGGGAUAACUUCAGGAAACUGGGGCUAAUACCGGAGAGGAGCUCCUGCUGCAGGGGGGGGGUUGGAAAGUUUCGGCGGAUGGGGAUGGACGCCAGGCUUAUCAGCUUGUUGGUGGGGGAGUGGCUUACCAAGGCUUUGAAGGGUAGCCGGCCUGAGAGGGUGAACGGCCACAUUGGGACUGAGGUACGGCCCAGACUCCUACGGGAGGCAGCAGUGGGGAAUAUUGCACAAUGGGCGGAAGCCUGAUGCAGCAACGCCGCGUGCGGGAUGACGGCCUUCGGGUUGUAAACCGCUGUCGCCUGUGACGAAGCGUGAGUGACGGUAAUGGGUAAAGAAGCACCGGCUAACUACGUG
rnacentral:rRNA from 1 species